GACGAACGCUGGCGGCGUGCUUAACACAUGCAAGUCGAACGGAAAGGCCCUGCUUGCAGGGUGCUCGAGUGGCGAACGGGUGAGUAACACGUGGGUGAUCUGCCCCUUACUUUGGGAUAAGCCUGGGAAACUGGGUCUAAUACUGGAUAGGACCAUGCUGUAGGUGGUGUGGUGGAAAGAUUAGUUUCGGUAAGGGAUGAGCUCGCGGCCUAUCAGCUUGUUGGUGGGGUAAUGGCCUACCAAGGCGUCGACGGGUAGCCGGCCUGAGAGGGUGGACGGCCACAUUGGGACUGAGAGACGGCCCAGACUCCUACGGGAGGCAGCAGUGGGGAAUAUUGCACAAUGGGCGCAAGCCUGAUGCAGCGACGCCGCGUGGGGGAUGACGGCCUUCGGGUUGUAAACUCCUUGCAGCCAUGACGAAGCCCUUGUGGUGACGGUAGUGGUAGAAGAAGCACCGGCUAACUACGUG
rnacentral:rRNA from 1 species